rnacentral:rRNA from 1 species
AGAACGAACGCUGGCGGCAUGCCUAACACAUGCAAGUCGAACGCUCCUGGGGCUUCGGUCUCAGGGGAGUGGCGCACGGGUGAGUAGCGCGUGGGAACCUGCCCUGUUGUGGGGGAUAACCGAGGGAAACUUCGGCUAAUACCGCAUACGCCCGGGGAAACCUGGGGAAAGAUUUAUCGCAGCAGGAGGGGCCCGCGUCGGAUUAGGUAGUUGGUAGGGUAACGGCCUACCAAGCCUGUGAUCCGUAGCUGGUCUGAGAGGAUGAUCAGCCACACUGGGACUGAGACACGGCCCAGACUCCUACGGGAGGCAGCAGUGGGGAAUAUUGGACAAUGGGCGCAAGCCUGAUCCAGCAAUGCCGCGUGAGUGAUGAAGGCCUUAGGGUUGUAAAGCUCUUUCGCCCGCGACGAUGAUGACGGUAGCGGGAGAGAAGCCCGGCUAACUUCGCGCCAGCAGCCGC